GACGAACGCUGGCGGCGUGCCUAACACAUGCAAGUCGAACGGGACCGGGGGCAACUUCGGUUCAGUGGCGGACGGGUGCGUAACACGUGAGGAACAUGACCUUCGGCGGGGGAUAGCCGGCCCAACGGCCGGGUAAUACCGCGUACGACCUUUCGGGGACAUCCCUGGAUGGUGAAAGCAGCAAUGCGCCGAGGGAGUGCCUCGCGGCCUAUCAGCUAGUUGGUGGGGUAACGGCCUACCAAGGCGACGACGGGUAGCUGGUCUGAGAGGAUGGUCAGCCACAUUGGGACUGAGACACGGCCCAGACUCCUACGGGAGGCAGCAGUGGGGAAUAUUGCGCAAUGGACGAAAGUCUGACGCAGCGACGCCGCGUGUGGGAUGAAGGUCUUCGGAUUGUAAACCACUGUCGGGAGGGACGAAUACGCCGCAAGGCGGGUGACGGUACCUCCAAAGGAAGCACCGGCUAACUCCGUGCCAGCAGCCGCCGUAACAC
rnacentral:rRNA from 1 species